rnacentral:rRNA from 1 species
AUGUGUGUCCCCGACCUCAGUAUUCUUAGGAGUGCCGUGUUAGGAGAUAAAUCUUAUAAUUUGGGAGCCAUUGUUGCACGUAGGUUGCAUCUUAAUAUAUUUAAUGGAGAUUUCUUUGGUGGAAUUUAUGCAACCCACAUAGCUAAUUUUCUUGGUAUAGCCAUAUGUGAAGAUGAUAUUGAGUUGCCUCCUACUUAUUUGGAUUAUGAGGCUAUGGUUCACCACCAGUUUGUCGAGAGGAAUGAAUCACCUCUCCAGUUUCGCUUAAUCUUUGACAGACGUCAUGCUGUCCGUAUUACUCUCCCUGCUCCUGCCUUCUUUGAUUAUCAGGCAAAAGGAAGAUAUGUUAUCACCAGAGAGGAGGCAGAUGUGUACAGGACGAGGGCAGAGGCCGCUCAUCACCACGCUGCAGCUCAGGAGGCGAUAGCCGCUGCAUCUCAGUACGACCCCAACUAUUAUUAUGGAUACCCGCCAGGCCAGCCGUGGCCAUAG